rnacentral:rRNA from 1 species
UACGUAGGCAGCGAGCGUUGUUCGGAGUUACUGGGCGUAAAGGGUGUGUAGGCGGUUGCUUAAGUUUGGUGUGAAAUCUCCCGGCUCAACCGGGAGGGUGCGCCGAAUACUGAGUGACUAGAGUGCGGGAGAGGAAAGUGGAAUUCCUGGUGUAGCGGUGAAAUGCGUAGAUAUCAGGAGGAACACCGGUGGUGUAAACGGCUUUCUGGACCAUAACUGACGCUGAGGCACGAAAGCGUGGGUAGCAAACAGG